AUCCAGGUGACCAGUUCUAAAUAGGACGAAACACACGUCAAACUGGAU
rfam:Schistosoma curassoni strain Dakar, Senegal genome assembly, scaffold: SCTD_scaffold0005473